GCUGGUUGCCAGGCACCGACUUGGGUGCUGCAAACAGGCCCUGGAGACAGUCUUCAGGCACUGGCAGCUCUCGUGUGGACGUUCACGCACUCUCUCUGCUAUGCUAAGGCUCUUUGCUCAUUCUCUUGGAUCAAUUUGAUGCUGUACAGAGUCUAUUUCUGGGAGCCAAUGACUUAGGAAUAUUGAAUUUUCCAAACUCAGUAACACGGCUUAACUGAUCCUCAGAAUAAACCACCGGACCACCAUCUAACUGAUGGAUCGGGCACCUCAGUCCUCAGCUGUAGCCUAUACAAGGUGUCCCUGCUGUGAGCUAGGAGCCCACAAAGAGUUCUGCCGGAGACGGGUGUUCAUCAGAAGGUGAAAUCACCUUUGCGUUUUGAUCCAUGGCUUCCAAAGAUAGAAGAGAUGAUUGGUUUUCCCCGAGAUUCAAAUGAUACCGGCAUCCCGAACGAUGCUCAGAGAAUGUCGCUUUAAACAACAAAAUGAAGGCGUCCAUUGAUGGAUCUCCCACCCUUGCUGCUCCUGGCAGCGUCGCGUCGCUUUGGCUUGUGAAGAGGGCCGUGCCAGGAUUUCCUGCUCCACACCUGCCUUUGGAGGGGGCUGCAUGUGAGGAUUCUGUCAGGCCACCGCAGCUUGCAGCAGCUGCCAACCUGAGGACGAGGGCUGGAUAAUUUACAAUGCAAGGAAUCCAUUCUUUUUGAGAGGGGGAAGGGAGAAAUCAAGAUUUAAGCUCCUUAUCCUGGGCUGAACUUUUCUCCUCCAUUCUUAAUGGCACUGGGCGUAAAUAAACCAUCCAUUUUGCUUUGUAGAACUGGCUGGUCUUUGCACAAACUCACUGGAAUCGACAGCCCAGGUUCAGAACCAAGACCACAGGUCUAGGCUGUAACCGAUUUGUAAACAAUACUAAUUUACAUUUUCCCACUGUCUGUUAGCCUUAUCAGGACCUGUCUUUCUAUUCUUCUGCCCCCAACAUCUGCAGAGAAAGUUUUUUUUUUUUUAUUGUCAGCUACUAAUGGUUCUUCUGUCCCAUAUUUUUAAUGUGAAGAUUAAAUAUUUAUAAAUGCCUUGUCAAUAGCAUCCCAUAACCAGGCCCUCUCGAAGCCACAAAGCAUGGACCUAAGCUCACUCCCACGAAGUCAGGGGUCACAGGUCAAGCGAGCAGUGAACAGCAGCCAUGAAGCACAUCUGCUGUCACUAAGUCUGGACAAUUAUUUAUGGGGCAGGGCUCUUCCUUAAAAGGCCCACAGCAUGGCAAGGGAAGUUUCCUUUGUCUCAGUCAAGCUCCUCUGGCCAAGUAGUUACUGGAAUCAGACUCCCAGCCGUGGGGCAGGCAACCAGCCUGGAUACCAUCUGCUUGGAGAAGAAUGCAGGAAGCACCUACAAGUGAAAGACUUAGGAGUGGGGAACAGGGAUGAUGAAAAGGAUGAGACACGAAGGUCCCGUGCCUCAGACAAGGAUUGGUUGGAAAUAGUAGAUUUUAAACAGGUGUGUGUGAAUCCCCUGGGCAUUUGGACAUAGGUGAGCCCGGGAACGAGGCUACAUAGAGCAUCCUGGGAAGGAGGGGGUGGCAGAGUUCAGCAGGAAGCAGCUCAUGAGCAAGGACAGGAAGAAAUGUCUCCAAAAGGUCAAUAGACCCAUGAAGCCAAUGCUUCCACCAGUCAAUAGUCACAUGACGAUGGGAGAUGGGAAUGGCCGCCCCAGAAGAGUUGGCGGGGACAUCCCUUCCAGCUGCAGGUAUACACAUCUGUUCUUCUGUAGAGCGGUUCCUGGUCCUUGGGGGUGAACAUCUGUGUGGCUAGAAGUUCUCAGUCCACAGAGGGCGGGGCAAUGGGGAACUCUGGGAGGAGAGUACACAGCCUAAAGGGGAGAAGUAGCAGAGGGGAGCAAGUUUGGUGGGGAUUCAAGGUUCUCCCCUGGAAAGAGAGACACAGAGAGAUUUUCUUUCAGGUAUGAGAUGGGAUGAUGGUGGUCAGAGAAGAUUAUCCAGAGUGGGUGUGGUACUUAUGGGACUGGGUCAGUGACAAAGAGGACCAAUGUGACCUGUGUGAUGCCAGCAUUACACACCCAAGGAAUCAGAAGAAAAGGACAUCAGCAUCUACUCUGUCAGCUUGGUGAGGUCAUUUUAGAAGCACAUGCUUUUUUUGUCCAGAAACUUUGAAGUAAAACCUGGUGAGGGCAAAGUAGCUGGACUCUGAAAGGCUGCUUUGGUGACCCUAGUCCACUCCAGCCUGGGUGAAGCCAGGUCUACAGAGCAGAAGAAGCACCAGGGUGAGCCUGAUACAGAAGUCUAACGAUUGUUCCUGUCUUUUAGUAAGCAGGUUACACCUGCUCCGCCCUCCUCCGGGGACUCCUCAUUGAGUUCUCUAGGGUAAAUGAUGUCUGUGUGGGAGCUUGCAAA